ensembl:lncRNA
UGGAAACCCUCCUCCCCACCUCCUGUCAGACUCCUCCUUGACCACUCUCAGGCUCCUCCAACCCCACCGGUUUGCCACUGCUCCACCCACCUGCCUCUGCUAUCUGACCUUCAACUGUGGCCAUGUCCUGGUGGUCUAAAUCAACACCUCCCUCUGGCCCCCACCCAACAUGACGCAGGGGGCAUCCAGCAGAGGGUUCACCACAGGCAGGUCCUUGCCUCCGCCAAUCCCUGUGCCAAGCAGAGUUCUCAGGACCUUUUCAGACUGGUUAGAUAUGACACCGACACAGCCAAUCAUCUGACCCAGACACUGCUUCCUGUACUGGUCCAGAGGCCCGCUGUGGGACCCGGACACUUCUGAUGUCCACUGGAGGCAGGCUAAUGUUCGGAGGCAGUGCUCUGAAUGGCUAUGGCUUCAGCAAGACCAACCUCCCGAAGCAGACCUGCGAAAGCACAAGAGCGACUAUGCCACCGGCAACGCCUUGCCCAUGAUUAUAAACUGGGGUACUGAUCUCUGUUUGAUCCAGAGGCUGGCAGCCCAAGAGUCCCUUGGAUGGACACUUGGGAAAACAGCUUCCCUGACCAUCUUCUACCCAGAUCUCUGGGGGGGCAUGGCCAUGUCCGGCAUGUCAGACAGGGAUUCCAUCCUAGCCAUGCAGUGAAAGAGGCGGAGCCCAGCGAGACCCGCCUCCUGAAAGGUCGCGGGGGCAGCAGCUCCAGCAGGGGACCCCAAACUUCCCUUUCCCGAGCCACAUUUGCCAGCCCUGACUGGGGGAUCCCGAGGCAUUCCCAGGCCAGUGUCGAAAUGUAAUCUCUCCACCUAGUCCUGGGCCUACCCCAAGGUCUCCUCCCAGCUGGACGUGCCUGGAAC